CAAAUUCCUACUUAUCCAGACACUCAAAUCAAUCUAAUCUAAAACCAGAGAAGUCUCAAGACAUAGGGAAUCAACUCUCAUGAAGAACUCAGAACAUAAUAUUACCAUUAUAGUGGUCAAAAUGGGCACUCAAUACAGUGAUACAUGUGGCCCGUCAUAACAGAGUCAGUUUAGGUGUUUUAGCCAUAAGUUGAGCUAUACAUAUCCAAAUUGGACACAAGAGGAUGGGUUGGAAAGCUAAGAAGUAGAGAUACAACUUUCAUGAAGGACUCAGACACCAAUGGAAAAUGAAAAGGAUAGAAAAAUAGUCCUUAAUCACACCCAAUAACACUUUUUCCUAAUUUCAGCUUACUUAAAUCAUAUACAAGGUAGAGAUUUCUACCACAUACUAAUUACUCAUCAAAUAUCAUCUUAAGAUCAUAAAUCCACAAAUAAUAACAAGAAAACUUAAGGCCUUAUUCAUCAAUAGGUUCUGCCACUCUUGGAGGAUGAAGAAGAAAAUGUUUUCCUCAUAAAUUCAACAUAUAAGCAUGCUUAGAAAUCUCCCAAGAACACAU
rnacentral:lncRNA from 1 species